GCAAAGCGGGUCUCUCCUUCUCCUUCUCCUUCUUGACGCCAAAGGCUCUUUCUCCAUCUUUCUUCUUCUUCUUCCUCCUCUGUGGAGCGAAAUUGGGGGAAGCCUCUGCUGCCUUCACAAAGGACGGAGCAAAAAUGAAGCAUCAGGAAUUGCCAGGACUGCCAGAAGCGAAGCUGCAAUUAGCCGAGCGGAGCCAAGUAGAUUCAACCAGACGCUGUCGUUGUCGCCGUCGUCACCGCCGGAGGUGGCACAACCGAGUGUGGACAGUUAGUCGUCCACUCACUUCAUCAAAGAAGAAGAAGAUCACACUCUCUCUCCGCAUCUGUAUCCGACAAAUCGUAAGUUCAUGUUUCUUCCGAUUUUGGUGUCUUAUUGCGCGUGAAUUAGGGCUCUAUUCUUCAAAUUCAUUCCACAUUCGAGUCUAAAAACAGGAGUUACUCAAACAAGCAAUAUAUUGCCCUUAAAUCUACAUCUUCUGUACUUCCCUCCCGAGCAUUGGCGAGAUUUCUGCGUGUUUGAGCUCUCAUAGAUGGAGAUGAUAUAUUGUGUUCAAGGUCUCAUGUUGAAAUUUCUUUAGGUAGAGAUAUCUCUGUAACAUCAGGUACAAAUUUCUACCAGGAAAAAGGGAGAAAUCAUGGAACUUGAAAAUAUUCCGAGAAUUGCAUGCCUUGUCAAAAAUCUGAAAAGUCACUUUUACGCCUUGAUCGUAAUAUAGUCUGGACCGUCUGAGGAAUCACUUGUAAUCUUGAUUGGUUAAGUGAUGCUGGAAGGAUAAAAUUUAUUUCCAAUUUAUGCUAAAAUCUUUUUCAUAGCAAGUCAAACUAAUGAAGUGUACUUAAACUAUCUCUAAAGUUGUCGUUUUUUAAGUACAGGCAGGUCCAAACAUUCGAGCAGAUUGAGGCAUCCUGAGCUGGUUUUUUAUGGUCCCAUGCGCCCAAGGCCUCUCACUGCUUUUACAUCGGCCAACAAAUUUCAAAUGGAGCAUCCCUUUUCCAAAGGUGGUGAUGAGGCCUUCUUAUGUUAAGUUUGGCUUGGUAUGAUCCCAUGCUUGUUGAGUCGAGCUCAUGUCUGAAAAUCAAACAUAUCUUAGCUUAUACUCUGGUUUAUAUGCAAGUUGACUUAAUGUAAUAAACCACAUGACAUGUUAUUUUCCUUGAAUUGUUCAUGGGUGUAUGUUUCAAACCAGGUAUAUAUCUUAACAACAAAGUAGUUGAAGUAGGGAAAAGAAUGAAAGGACGGUUAUCGGGACAUAAGCUGGUGGUCAAGGUUUGAAAAGAUAACAAUUAUCUCCUUUUUUGUGGAUAGAUGUUUUGGAAAGCAAUUGCUGGAGCAAGUGUUAAGAAUUAGAAUCCAAGUACUCUUAUAUGGAGAAAUUUGACAAUGUUAUUCAAUGCUGUAAAAGUAGUAAUUAUAUAAAUCAUACAAGGGGACCAGUUGAUACAGACAAUCAAAUUGCAAAGAAUGUUGCUCCCUCCGUGGCUCAAGGGAAAGACCUAAAAGAUAAAAGGGUGGCUAGUUAUGAUUCUGAAGUUUGAUCGUAGAUCUUGAUGACUCUUAUUAUUAAUGUCAAACAGGAGAUACUGUUUUAUUCUGUUAUAUUAAUAAGAUAUUUGAGGAAAAAAAUAGAUGAGUUUACUUUGUCGAAUUGAAUCUGUAGUUUGAUAAAAUUCGAGCUGCAGUUGAAAGAAUUGAACAGCUUAGAUUGAAAUUUUCACUUCCAUCCAUGUUCCAGUCAUCGAUGUCUUUGCCUUUUCCCCUGCACUUGUGGUUUGUGUGGCUGAAAUUCACGGUCUCAAAUAUACAUAGGACAUGGAAGGCCUUUUCUAGUUAUGUACGCGAUCGCACUCCAGGGGCAUAUAUCUUGACAUUUGACCUUGGGUUGCAAGUUGAGAUUGUUUACUCGUAUUAUAUGGUUUAUUUUCAAUUAAAACUCCUGAAACUAGCAACUACUGCCUUAAAUUCGUAUUGUGUGAUUAGAUUCUCUCAUUAGUGUAUGCUUAUGUUUUGGUCUUUCUUCACCAUAAAUUGGUUUUUGACCAUGUAAAUGGGGACUCUGCUCCUGUUCAAUUCAUCAGGCAACAUAAUCUGGAAAAAAUGUAAAUUGCAACUCUCAGCUAUUCAGACAAGUCAUGGACGUUGAAACUCAGGAGCCAUGGACGUGGACACAGGGGGGCCUUUUUUUCUGCUGGUUGGCCCACAUUUGCUAGAGAAGCUCAUCUGCAUGUAGGAGAUGUUUGUAUUUUUGAGCUAAUUGAUAGUGAGGAUGUGUGUUCAGAGUCUACAUUUCCACUAGAGCUGGUAAGGACUUGGUUUACAUUGAUUGAAAUGAACUAUGGAAGUGUCAUUUUCGCUCAUCCAAAAUAAAUCCUGUAUUCAUCGUCAUUUCUUCUUUGGUGGUCUUGGUGAAUCAAUGAAGUAUACUUCUUCCAUUCCCGUUGUGUUUGUGAGGUUCGCAAUAAUCCAGAUGCUCACUUAUUAAUCUGCAUCCCAAAUCUAAAUGAACCAAAAAGGAUGUGAUUCAAGAUUAGAGCAAAAGUUAAAGCCUGAAACGCUCGUCAUGAGAAUUUAGAGAGGCGUGACUUGUUGGUUUCUAAGUUAUGUUUAUGUGAACAACGACACAUUCUUUUUCUUAUUCUCUCUCAAAAUUUGUGAAAUUCUCCUAAUAAGCUUUUUGUAUAUUGAUUUUGUGGCAUUAUGAUUUAGGAGGUGCUAAGGGUAGUAAUCAAUUAUGUCUAAAAUGCAGAACAUGUAGACAUUAGUACCAUGAUCACAAGUACUGAUGUUUAGAUCAUUGUAACUCAAUACAAUGUCGACAGUGGUACCUGCGAGAAUUUUCUUUUUUCUUUUGUGCCUAUCGAUCUGAACAGUCUAAAUGUCAUGUAGCCCUCCUGAGCAGGUUUUGUAUGGUUCCACGUGUCCAUGGCUGGCCACUGCUCUUGAAAAAACUAGAGAAUUUGAAUUUGAGCAUCCACUUUUGAAAUUGGUGAUUUGGCCACUUUUAUUAAAAAGAGAAUUGCAGUAAGGGCCUAUUUCCUUUCAUAAUUGGCAUAUCCCAACCGUGAUGCCAUCUACAUCUCGCCCUGUAGUCUACUAUUUUCCCAAGUGGUUUUGCUUUUUAUUGGAGAUGUUGUUUUCUUUGAAAUGUGUAUGGCUUUAUGUGUAAAACUAGGGCAGUUUUGAUUUUGAAUUUUUUUUUUUUUUUUUAAUUAUGGAUUCAGAAGAUUACAGAUUCUUAAAUAAUAGAUUGUACUUUCCUCACUACUCAGGUGUAAAGAAGAUUGCUUUUGUUCAUUGACUAAGAGGAUGUGGUGAGACAAUCAGUGUUAGCACACCUGAAGCGUUAUCAUGAGAGUUCAAAAAUAGUGUACACUAUUGUAGAGUCUAUGAGCACUGUAUCGUGACAUUUUAACAUCAAAUUGCAAGUUGGGAUUGAAGACUUCUAUUUGUCAGUUAACACUGUUAAUUGAAUUUACUGAAACUAGUAAAUACUAGCAUAUAUUAACAUUUUGUUUGCCUUGUCUUUUUAUUGUUUGUUUGUAUUUAAUCUUUUCCUCAUCAUGCUACAUUGGCGGAGUGUUCCUUGUGAAUUCAUCAAGAAGUACAUUCAGAAGAACCAUUAGAUUGCUACUCUUAGGUAUUUGAACAAAUCAUGACCAGUGCAACUCAAGACCUAUCAACACCAUUUUUUAGCAAACAUCUCUGUGGUUGGCCCAUGUUUGUGAGACAAGCUUAUCUGGAUGAAGGGGAUGUCUUCGUGUUUGAGCUCAUUGAUAUGGAUGAUUUUAUGGUCAAAGGCUCCAUCUCCAAUUAUGCUUGUAAGGACCUCAUUUAGGUCGAUUGAGAUGAACAUUGGACGCAUCACUUGAGGCUGUAUAUUAGUGAAGCAAUUCCUGCCUCACUUAUUCAGUUGCGACAAAUCAAUUGAAAGUGCGCUUACUUUUGGCUUUGCUUCUCUCUCUUGACCUACUUAUAGUCUUAUCAGAAUUCUCUUUUUUCUUUUGUCCAGGUCAGAACAGACAAGUCUGAAUGUCCAGUGAGCCCCUCCUAAGCAAUUUUUUCAUGAUUCCAAGUGUUCGAGGCCUCUCACUGCCCUUGAGAAAGCUAGAGAAUUCAAAUUGGAGUAUCCCUUUUCCAGACAGUGAUGUGGCCAUCUUUUCUUAAGAAAGAAGUGGUGGUAAGGCCCAGAUCUCCAUUCAUAACUGACGUCUCAAUUAUGCAUGCCACCUAUUCUAUAUAUGCGCCCCACUGUGCAAAUUUUUCCCACGUUAAUUUGGUUUUUAUAGAAACACAGGACAUGUUAUCUUCUGUGAAGUGAUCAUGGUUAUAUGUUUUAAACAGGAAUCUUAACAACUGAGUAAAGGGACUAGGAAAAACAAUAAGUUGGGACAGUAAUCAGGAAAUAACCUAAUGACAGGGGGUGCGGAGACAGGAUCAGAGGGUUGGGAAAGGCAAUAACAACCAUAAGUUAGCAAUUUAAUAGUUUCUAAUUGAAGUAUAAGUUCCUCCCAAAGAUGACUACUUGGUACUUUCUCAGGCUGCCUAGGCUUGGGAAGAAGAGGUGACACGAAAUGUCCAGCUUAAGCCAUAGCUACUGCAACAGGCCUAGGCUUGGCAUGACUGAGCUCACUGCAACAGCAUGGCAACACUAGUCAGAUAUUGCUCACUGGCAACAAAUGGUUUACAAGAGCUACCAUUGCAAGCAGGUUCAAACUUGCAAUCGAAAAUGAAGGGAAGCCAAUGUGGCCUAGACCUCAAAAAUUAGUGCCACCAACUCGAUGGUAUGAAACGAAGAAAAGAAGCUCACUUCUUUUUGGCCAGGCAAAAGAAGAUCACUUACUUUCUGUGCUUGUGUGUCCAUUUAGGUCCCUAUGUGUAGCUUUUCAUGUUUAUUCGAUGCAUAUUGCAAUGUAAGAUUGGUGACUCAGAUAUUCACCAGAUUCAACUUGUCUCUAUAUUGAUUACACGUACUUAGUGUAGAAUCUAAGAGCACAGGAUUGUGAUAUUUUGAUUUCAGAUUGCAAGUUGUGAUUAAAGGCGAUCUCAUCAUGUCUUUUAGACUGCUAAUAUGGACUUUGGAAACUAACAACUACUAGCAUAAAUGUACGUUUUGUUUGCCUUUUCGCUUUAGUGUAUGCUUACAUUCCUAUGUGUUAUCAUAUAUUGGCUGGUCAAAUGUCUUCAUGGGUAGAGUGUUCUUAUGAAUUCAUAAAUACAUGCAUUCAAGAAAACCAGCGAAUUGUGACUCCUGGGUGCUCGGACACAUUGUGGCG
rnacentral:lncRNA from 1 species